CAGUGCUUGCACCUGGUGGCGAGUGGCGAACGGGUGAGUAAUACAUCGGAACAUGUCCUGUAGUGGGGGAUAGCCCGGCGAAAGCCGGAUUAAUACCGCAUACGAUCUACGGAUGAAAGCGGGGGACCUUCGGGCCUCGCGCUAUAGGGUUGGCCGAUGGCUGAUUAGCUAGUUGGUGGGGUAAAGGCCUACCAAGGCGACGAUCAGUAGCUGGUCUGAGAGGACGACCAGCCACACUGGGACUGAGACACGGCCCAGACUCCUACGGGAGGCAGCAGUGGGGAAUUUUGGACAAUGGGCGAAAGCCUGAUCCAGCAAUGCCGCGUGUGUGAAGAAGGCCUUCGGGUUGUAAAGCACUUUUGUCCGGAAAGAAAUCCUUGGCUCUAAUACAGUCGGGGGAUGACGGUACCGGAAGAAUAAGCACCGGCUAACUACGUGCCAGCAGCCGCGGUAAUACGUAGGGUGCGAGCGUUAAUC
rnacentral:rRNA from 1 species